rnacentral:rRNA from 1 species
GAUGAACGCUGGCGGCGUGCCUAAUACAUGCAAGUCGAGCGAACAGACGAGGAGCUUGCUCCUCUGACGUUAGCGGCGGACGGGUGAGUAACACGUGGAUAACCUACCUAUAAGACUGGGAUAACUUCGGGAAACCGGAGCUAAUACCGGAUAACAUGUUGAACCGCAUGGUUCAACAGUGAAAGACGGUCUUGCUGUCACUUAUAGAUGGAUCCGCGCCGCAUUAGCUAGUUGGUAAGGUAACGGCUUACCAAGGCAACGAUGCGUAGCCGACCUGAGAGGGUGAUCGGCCACACUGGAACUGAGACAGGGUCCAGACUCCUACGGGAGGCAGCAGUAGGGAAUCUUCCGCAAUGGGCGAAAGCCUGACGGAGCAGCGCCGCGUGAGUGAUGAAGGUCUUCGGAUCGUAAAACUCUGUUAUUAGGGAAGAACAAAUGUGUAAGUAACUAUGCACGUCUUGACGGUACCUAAUCAGAAAGCCACGGCUAACUACGUG